GACGAACGCUGGCGGCGUGCUUAACACAUGCAAGUCGAACGGAAAGGCCCUGCUUUUGUGGGGUGCUCGAGUGGCGAACGGGUGAGUAACACGUGAGUAACCUGCCCUUGACUUUGGGAUAACUUCAGGAAACUGGGGCUAAUACCGGAUAGGAGCUCCUGCUGCAUGGUGGGGGUUGGAAAGUUUCGGCUGUUGGGGAUGGACUGGCGGCUUAUCAGCUUGUUGGUGGGGUAGUGGCUUACCAAGGCUUUGACGGGUCGCCCGCCUGGGAGGGUGGCCGGCCACAUUGGGACUGAGAGACGGCCCAGUCUCCUACGGGAGGCAGCAGUGGGGAAUAUGGCACAAUGGGCGGAAGCCUGAUGCAGCAACGCCGCGUUCGGGAUGACGGCUUUCGGGUUGUAAACCGCUUUCGCCUGUGACGCAGCGUGAGUGACGGUAAUGGGUAAAGAAGCACCGGCUAACUACGUG
rnacentral:rRNA from 1 species